rnacentral:rRNA from 1 species
GUUGGAUACUUGAGAGGAUUUGUCCCUAGUACGAGAGGACCGGGAUGAACACACCUCUGGUGGACCUGUUGUGGCGCCAGCCGCAUUGCAGGGUAGCUAAGUUCGGACGGGAUAACUGCUGAAAGCAUCUAAGCAGGAAGCCUCCCUCAAAACGAGUAUUCCCUAUCAGAGCCGUGGAAGACCACCACGUUGAUAGGCCGGGUGUGGAAGCGC